rnacentral:rRNA from 1 species
CUUAGUAGCGGCGAGUGAGCGGCAAUAGCUCAAAUUUGAAAUCUGGCACCUUCGGUGUCCGAGUUGUAAUUUGAAGAAGGUAUCUUUGGUUUUGGCUCUUGUCUAUGUUCCUUGGAACAGGACGUCACAGAGGGUGAGAAUCCCGUGCGAUGAGAUGCCCAAUUCCAUGUAAAGUUCCUUCGACGAGUCGAGUUGUUUGGGAAUGCAGCUCUAAGUGGGUGGUAAAUUCCAUCUAAAGCUAAAUAUUGGCGAGAGACCGAUAGCGAACAAGUACUGUGAAGGAAAGAUGAAAAGAACUUUGAAAAGAGAGUGAAAAAGUACGUGAAAUUGUUGAAAGGGAAGGGCUUGAGAUUAGACUUGGAAUUUUCCAUUUAUGGAGCUUUCCGGGCCAGCAUCAGUUUGGAUGGCAGGAUAAUUGCGUUGGAAAGUAGCACCACUUCGGUGGUGUGUUAUAGACUUCGUCGAUACUGCCUAUCUAGACUGAGGACCGCGUCUUUGACUAGGAUGCUGGCGUAAUGAUCUUAAGACGCCCGUCUUGAAACA